UCGGGAAUUUUGGGCAAUGGGGGAAACCCUGACCCAGCAACGCCGCGUGAAGGAUGAAGUAUUUCGGUAUGUAAACUUCGAAAGAAUAGGAAGAAUAAAUGACGGUACUAUUUAUAAGGUCCGGCUAACUACGUGCCAGCAGCCGCGGUAAUACGUAGGGACCAAGCGUUGUUCGGAUUUACUGGGCGUAAAGGGCGCGUAGGCGGCAAUUCAAGUCAUCUGUGAAAUCUCCGGGCUUAACUCGGAAUGGUCAGAUGAUACUGCUUUGCUAGAGUGCAGAAGGGGCAAUCGGAAUUCUUGGUGUAGCGGUGAAAUGCGUAGAUAUCAAGAGGAACACCUGAGGUGAAGACGGGUUGCUGGGCUGACACUGACGCUGAGGCGCGAAAGCCAGGGGAGCAAACAGGAUUAGAUACCCAAGUAGUCCCUGAGCGGGCUGGCAAGGCGCAU
rnacentral:rRNA from 1 species